rnacentral:sRNA from 11 species
CGCACACCACGGGCGCUUCUCCUCCUCCCUUGGAGCGCACGCGGAUCAGAGCGACGGGACUUCCUCCUCCCUGUCCCGUCGCUCGCGAAAUUCGAAUACGGGCCGUUCCCUCCUCCUCCCUGGAACGGCGCGCAUC